rnacentral:rRNA from 1 species
UAAGUGCAUGUGGUGGAUGCCUUGGCAGUCAGAGGCGAUGAAAGACGUGGUAGCCUGCGAAAAGCUUCGGGGAGUCGGCAAACAGACUUUGAUCCGGAGAUGUCUGAAUGGGGGAACCCAGCCAUCAUAAGAUGGUUACCUUACACUGAAUACAUAGGUGUAUGGAGCGAACCAGGGGAACUGAAACAUCUAAGUACCCUGAGGAAAAGAAAUCAACCGAGAUUCCCUUAGUAGUGGCGAGCGAACGGGGACUAGCCCUUAAGUGGCUUUGAGAUUAGCGGAACGCUCUGGAAAGUGCGGCCAUAGUGGGUGAUAGCCCUGUACGCGAAAAUCUCUUAGUCAUGAAAUCGAGUAGGACGGAGCACGAGAAACUUUGUCUGAAUAUGGGGGGACCAUCCUCCAAGGCUAAAUACUCCUGACUGACCGAUAGUGAACCAGUACCGUGAGGGAAAGGUGAAAAGUACCCCGGGAGGGGAGUGAAAUAGUACCUGAAACCGAUUGCCUACAAUCCGUCGGAGCUGAGCACUUGUGCGAGGUGACGGCGUGCCUUUUGAAGAAUGAGCCUGCGAGUUAGUGAUGCGUGGCGAGGUUAACCCGUGGUGGGGGAGUCGUAGCGAAAGCGAGUCCGAUAAGGGCGUGAGUCGCGUGUUCUAGACCCGAAGCGGUGUGAUCUAUCCAUGGCCAGGAUGAAGCGUCGGUAAGACGUCGUGGAGGUCCGAACCCACUUCAGUUAAAAAUGGAGGGGAUGAGUUGUGGAUAGGGGUGAAAGGCCAAUCAAACACCGUGAUAGCUGGUUCUCCCCGAAAUGCAUAUAGGUGCAGCGUCGCGUGUUCCUUGCCGGAGGUAGAGCACUGGAUAGUCUAGGGGGCCCACAAGCUUACCGAAAUUAGCCAAACUCCGAAUGCCGGUAAGCCAAGCGCGGCAGUGAGACUGCGGGCGAUAAGGUUCGUAGUCGAGAGGGAAACAGCCCAGAACACCAGCUAAGGCCCCUAAGCGGUUGCUAAGUGGAAAAGGAUGUGGAGUUGCGGAGACAACCAGGAGGUUGGCUUAGAAGCAGCCAUCCUUGAAAGAGUGCGUAAUAGCUCACUGGUCAAGUGAUUCCGCGCCGAUAAUGUAGCGGGGCUUAAGUUAUCCGCCGAAGCUGUGGCAACCUGUGUGGUUGGGUAGGGGAGCGUCGUGUCAGUGGUGAAGCUGCCGGGUGACUGUGUGGUGGAGUUGAUGCGAGUGAGAAUGCAGGCAUGAGUAGCGAAUGAGGAGUGAGAAACUCCUCCACCGAAAGACCAAGGGUUCCAGGGUCAAGCUAAUCUGCCCUGGGUGAGUCGGGACCUAAGGCGAGGCCGACAGGCGUAGUCGAUGGACAACGGGUUGAUAUUCCCGUACCGGCGCUAGCACGAUCCUGCCGAGGCGAGCGAUGCUGAGCACGCGAGUCGCACGGAUCCUUCGGGUGAUGUGUCGAUGAGUCUGCGAACCAGACUUGUAUUAGGCAAGCUGCGGAGGGACGCAGGAAGGUAGCUCAACCCGGGCGAUGGUAUCCGCAAGGUGAUCCCGGGCUAAGUGUGUAGGGCGAGUCGUAGGUAAAUCCGCGGCUCACAUGGCCUGAGACAUGACGGCUGGUCGGUCUACGGACCGGCGAGUGAGUGAUCCUAUGCUGCCUAGAAAAUCUUCGUGAGCGAGUUCUAGAGCCGCCCGUACCCUAAACCGACACAGGUGGUCAGGUAGAGAAUACCAAGGUGAUCGAGAUAACCGUGGUUAAGGAACUCGGCAAAAUGCCCCCGUAACUUCGGGAUAAGGGGGGCCGGACGCGUUUGCAGGACUUGCUCCUGCUGGCGUGAAAGGCCGCAGAGACCAGGCCCAAGCGACUGUUUACUAAAAACACAGGUCCGUGCCAAGUCGUAAGACGAUGUAUACGGACUGACUCCUGCCCGGUGCUGGAAGGUUAAGAGGACCUGUUAGACGCAAGUCGAAGCGGAGAAUUUAAGCCCCAGUAAACGGCGGUGGUAACUAUAACCAUCCUAAGGUAGCGAAAUUCCUUGUCGGGUAAGUUCCGACCUGCACGAAUGGCGUAAUGACUUCCCCGCUGUCUCCAACGUCAGCUCAGUGAAAUUGAAUUCCCCGUGAAGAUGCGGGGUUCCUGCGGUCAGACGGAAAGACCCCGUGCACCUUUACUGUAGCUUUGCGCUGGCCUUCGUGUCGGCAUGUGUAGGAUAGGUGGUAGGCUUUGAAGCAGGGACGCCAGUUUCUGUGGAG